CCCCGUCCAGCUGCUGCCAAAAUCGGGAGGCGGGUUGGGUAACAGGAAAUAGUGUGGGGGUGAGGAGGCAUGUUAAAAGCGGAAGUUCAUGUUUCACAGCGAACGUCCCAUCUCACAGAGGCACAAGCCAGAUGCCAGGGGCAGCCGGUGCCGAGAAGGAGAGGCGAGAGUCACCCCGAGGCCAGAGUGAGCGGACGAGGGGGCCGCGCCAGGCCAGGACUCGGUGAUGCCGACGGACACGAGUUCUGGGGGAAGGCACGACGCUCAGGGGGCCUGGCAUAUGCGGUGGCGUGUGCGCUUGUGCAGGGACGUGGAGAUGGCUCCAGAAGGCAGCGUGGCAAGUGGACGGGGUGCCUGCAAAUUCUGAGUCUGUUGCAAUUCUUCGGGUAUCCACCACCCAGAAUGAGCAAAUGUUAGCAUUUUGUCAUCAUUGCUUCAGAAUAUUUGCAAGUAGAAAAAGCAGAGAGCGUUACAGAUGAAGCUGACUUUCCCUCCUCCCUCCUCCCUCCUCCAUCUGCUGUCUCAGGGAACCAGUUGACACCACGAAUGGGAGUUCCUGGGAUAUUCUGUACGUUCUGGAUACUGAUCCUUGGACUGUUUCAUGGGUUGCAAACAUACUUUCCAGGCUGUGACUGCCUUUUGGCUUUGCUCAUGGUGUCUCUACACAGAUUCACCAACAAGGAGUUUAUCGGCGACUUGGGCCAGGGCCGUGAGCUGGGGAGUAGAAGCUGGCUGGCCAGUGGCUGGUGGGGUGAUGAGGCGGCGGCAGGACUUCUUUCAACAGCACAGCUUAAACGGUCAGGUGAGGGGGUACUGAGAACCAUUCUUUUUUCUUUUAUUAAAAAUGUUAUGCCUUUAAGGUGUACAACUUGAUGUUUUGAUAUACGUAUACAGUGUGAAAUGACCACCACGAUCCAUGAAGAUAUGUCUCACCUCUGCAUAGCUACCAUCUGUAUGUGUGUUGAGAAGAUUGAAUAAGGUCUAUCCUCUUAGCGAAUUUCAAGUAUACAAUACAGUGUACAGUAUUGUUAGCUGUUGUCACCAUGCUUUACAUUAGAUCUCUAGAACUUAUUCAUCUUGUAUAACUGAAACUUUGUACCCUUUGGCCAACAUCACCCCAUUUCCCCCAACCCUAGCCUCUGGUAAUCACCAUUCUAUUGUUUCUGUGAACUUGGCUUUUUUCGAUUCCACAUAAAAGUGAAAUCAUGCAGUAUUUCUCUUUCUGUAUCUUGCUUAUCUCACUUAGCAUCACGUCCCGCAGCUCCAUCCAUGUUGUCAGGAUUCCUUCUUUUCAAAGGCUGAAUAACAGCCCAUCGUGUGCGCGUGUAUCCAGCUCUGUCUAUCGCUGUCUCUCUCUCACUCGUGGGAGUGUAAGUAGGUGCAGCCGCUAUGAAAAGCAGUAUGGAGGUUCCUCAGAAAAUUAAAAAUAGAACCCCCAUGUGACCCAGCAGUCCCACCUCUGGGUGUCUAUCCAAAGGAACUGACAUAAGGGUGGGGACGAGACAGCUGCACCCCGUGGUCACUGCAGCCUUCUUCACAAUGGCCAAGACAGGGGCACAACUUAAAUACCCUUCAACGGAGGGAGGGAUGUUUUCUUUAGGACUCAAGAGGCCGGGUAGAGAAAAGAGC